GGAUAGGAAGCGAUCAGUUGCACUCGGUUUCGACCCGACUCUAGGUKCCCCUAUCUU
rnacentral:tRNA from 1 species